rnacentral:rRNA from 1 species
CGGCUCGUCACAUCCUGGAGCUGGAGAAGGUUCCAAGGGUUGGGCUGUUCGCCCAUUAAAGUGGCACGUGAGCUGGGUUCAGAACGUCGUAAGACAGUUCGGUCCCUAUCUGCUGCGGGCGCAGGAAGCUUGAAGGGGGUUGCUCCUAGUACGAGAGGACCGGAGUGAGUAUGUCACUGGUGAAUCAGCUGUCAUGCAAGUGGCAAAAGCUGAGUAGCCAACACAUAUAACCGAUAACCGCUGAAAGCAUCUAAGCGGGAAACGGGCCCUAAGAAGAGGCUUCCCACUCUUGAAAAAGAGGUAAGGGCAGUUCGAGAAGAGGACAUAGAUAGGCCGCAAGUGUAAGUGUCGAGAGGCAUUGAGCUGAGCGGUACUAAUAGCCCGAGGCUUUG